rnacentral:lncRNA from 1 species
GCGCGCUUUUACUACUUUUAAGGAGGGUUGGAGUUUCACGCACUGAGCGAUCGCGUGUUCUUACGUAAGGUCCCUGCGGAGUUAAAGGCGCUCACGGUCCAUGUUUCUGGUCCUUUAAUAGCUGAGAUAGAGCCACGCCCAGACAACUGUUGGGAAAUGCGAAACCUGAAGUCCAUGUUACCCGAUCCAUGCAUUUCAAAAUUGUUGUGUGGACUGAUUUUUGUCAACCAAAAUGCGCGAGAAUGAAUUCUGCAGGAUUAAGGUGUGUAUAACAUGAAUUGUGACUCACGCACGCAUUUAUUUAUUUAUUUAUUUAUUUAUUUGGUACUGGAGAUUGAACGCGGGGGCACUCGGCAACUAAGCCACAUCCCCAGCCCCAUUUUGUAUUUUAUUUAGAGACAGGGUCUCACUGAGUUGCUUAGCCCCUCGCUUUUGCUGAGGCUCCUGCCCCAGCCUCCAGAGCCACUGAGAUUACAGGUGUGCACCACCGGCGCGCGGCUGAUACACUCAUUUAUUUUUAAACAAUAUUAUGGAGGUGUAUUUUCGGUAUCAGUUAUUUUAAACGAUACUAUUGUUGCGGUUUGCCACGUAUACAUACAUGAAGCCGUUCCAACAAUCCACAUAAACAUCCAUCACCCUCAAAAGCUUGUUCCCAUCCUCUCCGGAGGUUGAAGCAGGAUCGCCAG